rnacentral:misc_RNA from 1 species
GAUGAAGAACGUAGCGAAAUGCGAUAAGUAAUGUGAAUUGCAGAAUUCAGUGAAUCAUCGAAUCUUUGAACGCACAUUGCGCCCGCCAGUAUUCUGGCGGGCAUGCCUGUCCGAGCGUCAUUUCAACCAUCAAGCCCCCGGGCUUGUGUUGGGGACCUGCGGCUGCCCGCAGGCCCUGAAAACCAGUGGCGGGCUCGCUGUCACACCGAGCGUAGUAGCAAUCACCUCGCUUAGGGCGUGCUGCGGGUUCCGGCCGUUAAACAGCCUUACAAAACCCAAGGUUGACCUCGGAUCAGGUAGGAAGACCCGCUGAACUUAAGCAUAUCAAUAAGCGGAGGA